GAUGAACGCUGGCGGCGUGCCUAAUACAUGCAAGUAGAACGCUGAAGCUUGGUGCUUGCACCGAGCGGAUGAGUUGCGAACGGGUGAGUAACGCGUAGGUAACCUGCCUCUUAGCGGGGGAUAACUAUUGGAAACGAUAGCUAAUACCGCAUAAAAGACGAUAUCGCAUGAUAUUGAUUUGAAAGGUGCAAAUGCAUCACUAAGAGAUGGACCUGCGUUGUAUUAGCUAGUUGGUGAGGUAACGGCUCACCAAGGCAACGAUACAUAGCCGACCUGAGAGGGUGAUCGGCCACACUGGGACUGAGACACGGCCCAGACUCCUACGGGAGGCAGCAGUAGGGAAUCUUCGGCAAUGGGGGCAACCCUGACCGAGCAACGCCGCGUGAGUGAAGAAGGUUUUCGGAUCGUAAAGCUCUGUUGUAAGAGAAGAACGAGUGUGAGAGUGGAAAGUUCACACUGUGACGGUAACUUACCAGAAAGGGACGGCUAACUACGUGCCAGCAGCCGCGGUAAUACGUAGGUCCCGAGCGUUAUCCGGAUUUAUUGGGCGUAAAGCGAGCGCAGGCGGUUAGAUAAGUCUGAAGUUAAAGGCUGUGGCUUAACCAUAGUACGCUUUGGAAACUGUUUAACUUGAGUGCAGAAGGGGAGAGUGGAAUUCCAUGUGUAGCGGUGAAAUGCGUAGAUAUAUGGAGGAACACCGGUGGCGAAAGCGGCUCUCUGGUCUGUAACUGACGCUGAGGCUCGAAAGCGUGGGGGAGCAAACAGG
rnacentral:rRNA from 1 species